rnacentral:rRNA from 1 species
GACGAACGCUGGCGGCGUGCUUAACACAUGCAAGUCGAACGAAGAGCGAUGGACGCUUGCUUCUAUCAAUCUUAGUGGCGCACGGGUGAGUAACGCGUAAUCAACCUGCCCUUCAGAGGGGGACAACAGUUGGAAACGACUGCUAAUACCGCAUACGAUCUGACCUCGGCAUCGAGGAUAGAUGAAAGGUGGCCUCUACAUGUAAGCUAUCACUGAAGGAGGGGAUUGCGUCUGAUUAGCUAGUUGGAGGGGUAACGGCCCACCAAGGCGAUGAUCAGUAGCCGGUCUGGGAGGAUGAACGGCCACAUUGGGACUUAGACACGGCCCAGACUCCUACGGGAGGCAGCAGGGGGGAAUCUUCCGCAAUGGACGAAAGGCUGACGGAGCAACGCCGCGUGAGUGAUGACGGCCUUCGGGUUGUAAAGCUCUGUUAAUCGGGACGAAAGGCCUUUUUGCGAAUAGGGAGAAGGAUUGACGGUACCGGAAUAGAAAGCCACGGCUAACUACGUG